rnacentral:lncRNA from 1 species
AUUCUCUUUUUUUUUUAAAUUUUCUUCCCUGCUAGGGAUAUGGUGGACCCUUGACAGGAGAUGCUACUUGACAUACCAAUCUGUGGGGAAUACUGAUGGUCCACAGGGAGACAGACAAAUGGUAAAAACCAACUCGCUGGGGAAAACAAUCUUGCUGGAGAAUCAGACACACACUAGAGAGUACUCAAAGUAAAAUUUGAUUAACGACACUUGGAAUACAAGAGAUUUCGGCAGUAAGUUCA